ACCACCUGAGUUUGGACCAGGUCGACCACGUCCCUCACAAGACCGUCAUCAAUCUGGCCGGUCUUCUUGUUGGUAUACGCCCUCCUCAUUAGGGCGAGAUCAUCAACUGGCUCGCCAUCAUUUUCUUCCGCCUUGAAAAAAAAAAAAAAUUAAAGAAACAUUAGAAAUUAGAAGAAAUGCAUAAUAAAUUAAAAUUCUGAAACUCAAAUAAUUGAAGAAAACACGUUUGAACUUACCAUGCGAUCUCCCAGAGUGGCAAUAGAUUGA
rnacentral:lncRNA from 1 species